UGUGGGAGCGGGCUUGCUCGCGAUUCAAGCGACGCGGUGUAUUUGAUUCACCGCGCUGAUGCCAUCGCGAGCAAGCCCGCUCCCACA
rnacentral:antisense_RNA from 1 species